AUACGGAGGGUGCAAGCGUUACUCGGAAUCACUGGGCGUAAAGCGCGCGCAGGCGGCUAUUUAAGUUGGAUGUGAAAGCCUACGGCUCAACCGUAGAACUGCAUCCAAAACUAUUUAGCUAGAGUGUGGGAGAGGAAGAUGGAAUUAGUUGUGUAGGAGUAAAAUCCGUAGAGAUAACUAGGAAUACCAAAAGCGAAGGCAAUCUUCUGGAACACUACUGACGCUGAGGCGCGAAAGCGUGGGGAGCAAACAGGAUUAGAAACCCUAGUAGUCC
rnacentral:rRNA from 1 species